rnacentral:lncRNA from 1 species
CAUGAUGCUCAACCCAAGCCUAAUCCUACCAAAAGCCUCAAGUGAGGAAUAUGAGUGACAUGAGGACUCUCACAGUUGAGGGUUCCGACCGUUUCGAUAGCCACGCCACAUCAUUUGUCUUAUCCACACCAACGGUCAUAUUAUUUAAGGGCAUUAGUGUCAAAUCAUGUCUGGAUGCUCCCAGGCUAUAAAUAGCCGCCCCCACAACCAUUAGCUGGUUGGCUGCUCCGUUAGAAACUGACACUUGUCAUAAGAG